rnacentral:rRNA from 1 species
AUGGAGCCCAAGACUCCAACCGAAAAAUUCAAUCGUGUUCACUCAUCUAUCCGCGAUGUUAUUGAGCGAUCAUUUGGAGUGCUAAAAAUGAAGUGGCAGAUUCUCUAUAAGAUGCGAACGUACCCGAUGUUCAAACAAAAAAUGAUUGUUGUUGCCACUAUGGUCCUUCACAACUUUAUUCGUGAGCAUAACAGUGUAGACUUGGACUUUGCUCGGUUCGACCGUGAUCCUGAUUACGUGCCUACAAUUCCGGACAGGUAUAACAAAUUUGUUGCUGCCUCAGAUAGAUCUACCGCGGAACCGGAUGCUCCGACCGUGGAUAAAUUCCGUGAUGAGUUAGCCACCGCUAUUGCCUCUGGUUGGAAGUAG